CGCACCUUGCGCCCUCUGGUAUUCCGGAGGGCAUGCCUGUUUGAGUGUCAUGUAGACUCAACCAAAUCGGGUUUCCGACGUGGUUGGACUUGGGUGUUGCCGUCCGGCUCGCCUCAAAUGUGUUAGCGAUUUCAGAACCGACGCUGGCGUGAUAAGUUUCGCCGGCGGCAGGGGAUGGGGAUGCUCAUAAUCGCCCUCGGGCAAUCUUUUGACUCUGGCCUCAAAUCAGGUAGGACUACCCGCUGAACUUAA
rnacentral:misc_RNA from 1 species